GUGCUUGCUUCAGCAGCACAUGUACUAAAAUUGGAACGAUACAUAGAAGAUUAGCAUGGCCCCUGCACAAGGAUGACACGCAAAUCUAGGAGGCGUUCCAUAUUAAA
ensembl:snRNA U6 U6 spliceosomal RNA